ACUAGGUUCAUGAAUGUGCAUUCUUUGGCCUAGAAAAUUAUUUUACAAUUAGUUAGAUCUCUCGGCUUCCAACAACUAAACUGCUUCAUUUUCUAUAACUAGGUCUCUGAUGUACGGCCACUGCUCGACUUAAUGGCCAUAACCUUAGAAAAUUUGCUGUCUGGUGUUCUUGCUAGAGCAAGCAUUGGAUCACUUAUAAUCCUUGCUUGAGUGGUCACCGUAGCAUUGCCAUCUUUGCAUUCACAGCAGGCAUUUCAAGAAGUGCUUCUUAGGCAACUCA